rnacentral:rRNA from 1 species
UACGGAGGAUCCAAGCGUUAUCCGGAUUUAUUGGGUUUAAAGGGUGCGUAGGUGGCUUGUUAAGUCAGGGGUGAAAGACGGUAGCUUAACUAUCGCAGUGCCCUUGAUACUGAUGAGCUUGAAUGAACUAGAGGUAGGCGGAAUGUGACAAGUAGCGGUGAAAUGCAUAGAUAUGUCACAGAACACCAAUUGCGAAGGCAGCUUACUAUGGUUUUAUUGACACUGAGGCACGAAAGCGUGGGGAUCAAACAGG